rnacentral:misc_RNA from 2 species
AAACAUCAAACCCACUGGCUUUGCGGUCGGUGCGGUUUGGACUUGGGGGUUCUUUGCUGCCGCUUGCGGUGGCUCCCCUUAAAUGAAUCGGUCGGGCUUUCGUGUGGCUUGUCCCUUGGCGUUGUAUUACCCUCGUCGCUGGACGGCCCGCGUGUUUGCGCCCCUCCUUGACUUGCCUUUGGAGUGGCGGUCAACUGCUUUGUG